rnacentral:rRNA from 1 species
UACAGAGGUCUCAAGCGUUGUUCGGAUUCAUUGGGCGUAAAGGGUGCGUAGGCGGCGCGGUAAGUCGGGUGUGAAAUCUAGGAGCUUAACUCCGAAACUGCAUUCGAUACUGCCGUGCUUGAGGACUGGAGAGGAGACUGGAAUUUACGGUGUAGCGGUGAAAUGCGUAGAUAUCGUAAGGAAGACCAGUGGCGAAGGCGGGUCUCUGGACAGUUCCUGACGCUGAGGCACGAAGGUCAGGGGAGCAAACGGG